rnacentral:tRNA from 1 species
GCCUGGGUGGCUCAGUUGGCUGAGCACCUGACCUCAGCUCAGGUCAUGAUCUCAUGGUUCGUGGGUUUGAGUCCCGCGUCGGGCU